UGGAGCAGCGGAGGCACACGCGGAAACGUGCCGCUGGGACCAGCCCAGUUCUUGGGGUGGGCUGGAGGAGCGGAGACUGCAAUGCGCGUCGCCUGACUCCCAACAGUACAGCACCGUCAGCGCUGAGCCACGGAGCUUCGCUGCAGGCCCUUCCUGCCCAUUGAUUGGCUUACGCGGAAAGAGCCUGAAUCAGCGGAUCUGGCGGCGGGGAGACGGAGAGCAGCCGGGGACGCAGGGGAAACGGAUGCCAGCGCCAGGUCCUUCAGCGGAAAAGCGGAAUGGGCGAGGGCGACUCAGGUUCAGACGCACUUAGCCCCUCGGACUCGCCCUCCCAGUCUUCCAGGUGGUCCUGAGGGAAAACUACCUUGUGAUCUUGGACAGUCAUAAAAAGAGGCGGGCGGGGACCGGGGGGGGAAUUUAUAAUGCAGGCAUGGAGUCCUGCUCUCGCAAAAUGAGCUACCUGAGAAAUCUUCUUGUCUAUAUAAUAGGCAACACCUGUGUACUACCUUGGCCUGCUCUUCCGGCUGAAAUUUGACCCUUUUUACGCCCAUUGCCCUACCACUUGGCUAUUUAAUUUUGGGAGCAUUUAACAGUAUGACUGGUUUGCUGAUGCAGCUGUUCCACAUUCUCAAAUCCCAAUUAACCCUCAUCUCUGGCAAGGAUGGAAAAAAGACCUGAGUCCUGGCAAGAGAAGAAGACUGCUUAAUGGCUUAUUAGGCUAUUCUUACAAAACAGAACACAAGUUCCGCAAAGUAACCAGGGCUUGCCAGAGGUUUCUUGCCUCAUAAGUAAGGAGUAAGAGAACACACUCUUCCUGGCUUCCCUAGACACUAUACACCUUAGCCUUCCAAUGAAAUUCAGCACCACUUACAUUGGAGCCAAUAUUAAUGGUAGAGAGAAACUGAUAUCUAUUGGAUAGAAACAAACCCAUACAAUUCAGCACAUACACCAUUACUUAGCCAUUGGAACAACAUGUCUAUGAAGAUUCUCAAUACUCCAGGUCUUGUUUGUCCCAAAAGUGUUUUUCAAAAGGCAACUGGACUUUCUUGGUUUUUUUCCUUUCACUUCUCAUCCAAGAAGCUUCUUCACUUCUGAAGAACUGAACAAUUGGAGCAAUAGUUCAGAUUUGAUGGGAUGAAAGUUCCUUGAAUUUGAAUUACCAACAUGCCUCUAAAAGAAGCUAAUGCAACUCUUAUAAAAUGCUUAAUUAGGAUCUAAAAACACCAAAGGAACCCUACAGAAAUGGAAAGAAUGUCAGGAAACAGCCAGGUAACUCAGAAUUGUGGAAUUGGCAUUAAGAAAAACAAAGCUCAGAACAAGCUAAGAUUAGCAAAAGAAGCUAACAUUAACAAAAUUAGUGUAAAAUAACAAAACAUAUUCUUUAAAUAUGUUUGAAAUAAUAUGUUCAAAAUAAAAAGAAAAGAACAUAAUCAGUAUGCUGGUUGCUCAAUGGAGAGAGCAAGACUAACAAGUAGUAAAGAAAAAAAUAUUCAAUGUUUAAUUAGGUUCAAUCUCCUCCAUCAAAAAAGAUUUUGUUCCAAAAGGUAAUUGUGAAGAGUGGGUGAAAGGGUGUGAUUAGCUUUGGACAAGAAAUAUGAUCAGGAAAUGUUUCUUUGGUUCAAUUGAAUUUAAAUUUUCAGGACCAAAUUAAUUACAUCUUAGGACCCUGAAGAAACAACUGAUGCUCUGAUGAAACCUCUAUUUAUCAUCUUUGAGAAAUCCUAGAGAACUGAAGAGUGCCAAGUGAUUGUAGGAAAGUAGAUGUUCCAAUCUUUUUGUAAAAGGGGGAAGGAGUAAUCUAGGACACUAGGGAAGAUCCUAAAGCACAUCAUGGUUAGGCUACAAAGUAUGUAACUUGAAAAGAAUCUGAUGAUUACAAAAAAAAAAAAAAAUUGGCAUGGAUUUAACAGGAACAGAUUUCACCAAACAAAAUAUUUCAAAUUUUCAUAUUUUAUAUUUAUGACUUUUUAAAGAAGACAUGAUCAGAUAUGCUUAAUGAUACAAAACUGGGUCAUUGUAGAUGACACAAAGUUGGGUUGAAUAAAAUUCAAAAUAAUUUUGAUAAGAAAAAAUGGAUAAAGGUAAGGGAAUGAAAUAUAACAGGGAAAAAUGCCUAAGUUUUUUAUUUAUAGAACUAAACCCUAAUACACAGAUAUAGGAUAAAUUGGCUUAGUAAUAGACUAAUGAAAAUUAUAUUGGAAUAGUAAUUGCAAACCAACAUGAGCCAGGAAACUAAUGACACAGUAAAUAAGGCAAAUAUAAUUUCAGACUGGAUCAAUAGUAUAAUUUUCAAAUCACAGGAAGUAAUCGUAUUUUCACUACAUCAGUAUUUCUCAAC